GAUGAACGCUAGCGGCAGGCUUAAUACAUGCAAGUCAAGGGGGUAGCAAUACAACCGGCGCACGGGUGAGUAACGCGUACACAACAUACCAUAUACUGGAGUAUAGCUUUGGGAAACUGAAGGUAAUCCUCCAUAACAUUGCGAGAGGGCAUCUGAUUGCAAUUAAAGUUUCGGCGGUAUAUGAUUGGUGUGCGUUUGAUUAGCUAGUUGGUAGGGUAACGGCCUACCAAGGCGACGAUCAAUAGCUGGCGUGAGAGCGCGACCAGCCACACUGGAACUGAGACACGGUCCAGACUCCUACGGGAGGCAGCAGUAGGGAAUAUUGGACAAUGGAGGAAACUCUGAUCCAGCCAUGCCGCGUGAUAGAUGAAGGCCCUCUGGGUUGUAAAUAUCUUUUAUCUGGGAAGAACACUCCUAUUCUUAGGAACUUGACGGUACCAGAGGAAUAAGCACCGGCUAACUCCGUGCCAGCAGCCGCGGUAAAGU
rnacentral:rRNA from 1 species